CGCGUAGGUGGUAGUGUAAGUCUGGGGUGGAAUCCCAGGGCUUAACCCUGGAACUGCCUUGGAAACUGCAUUACUUGAGUCAGUGAGGGGAGGGUAGAAUUCCUGGUGUAGCGGUGAAAUGCGUAGAUAUCAGGAGGAAGGCCUGUGGCGAAGGCGGCCCUCUGGCGCUGGACUGACACUGAGGCGCGAAAGCGUGGGGAGCAAACAGGAUUAGAUACCCUGGUAGUCCACGCCCUAAACGGUGGGCACUAGGUGUAGGGCUCGUAAGGGGUUCUGUGCCGAAGGGAAACCAUUAAGUGCCCCGCCUGGGGAGUACGGCCGCAAGGUUGAA
rnacentral:rRNA from 1 species